rnacentral:lncRNA from 10 species
AUUUUAAAGAAUUGGCUCGUGGGAUUGUGGGGCCUGGAAAUCUGAAAUCUGCAGAGAAAGCCAGCAGGCUGGAAAUUCAGCUAUAAUGUGACAGGCAAGCUAUUUUACAAGGCAAUAAAGAAAAUAAUCAUGCUCCCCAGCGAGUAAACUGCAAGGCCAAAAGGAAGUGGCGAGGAAAGAAGAAUGAAGACAAAGAAUAUGGAGUUUCCAUUGAUUUAGCCAAGUCCAUAACAGAAGAAAAGUGCCUUCCUUCGGAACUUCCAAUACAAUGUGUGAGAAUGGACCUGUUACAACUUGUAUUACUCGCAGGGUUCCCCCACUACCAAGAAUAGGGGUGGCCUUAGAAGGCACUCUGAAGCAAGAAUCAGCAAGUGACUGAAUCUAUGAGACUCGUAUUGAUCAGCCUCAAAAGAAAUGAGUCCUACCUUCUCGGUCUCUUAAGAAAUUCAUUCUCUUGAAAAGCAAUUCAAAAAGAGCUUUCCCUAAUACACAUUAGAUAAACAAUGAGAUAUCCUCCUAGCUUUCUCUUGGGAAACUUUCACUUUAUAUCUUUUCAAUUUAUUCUCAUCUUUUUUUUUGUUCCUUCCUUCCCUACUUUUAGGCUUUGUCGUUCAAAAGCUAGCUCGUAGAAUUUUUUUAAAUCUUUGUAUUCAUAUAUCCCUAACUAGAGCAUGAUCUUUUUCUGGCUGGUGGAUCCUCCCCAGAAUGUUUGCAUGUAUUAGGGCUCCAGUGAAUAGGUGUUGGUCAUGAGGAAGGAUGACCAGCUAAGGGAGCUAAUGGCUUAGACAGACACUGUAGAAUUGCAAGGAAUAGAGAUGUGCUCAAGAUACCUUGGUUGGCGAGGUUUAUUGUUGCAGAAACACACUGGGUGGUAGCCAGUCAACCAAGACGGCGGCCAUCAAUUCCUUACCUUUCUUUGUGUACAUGCUGCACCCCAUGACCAAAGGUAGGGCCUUUUUUCUCCUCCCUUGUAUUUCGACUGGCCUCAUACCUUGCUUUCAACAGUGAAAUGUAACAGUGGUGAAGUUGGACUUGUUCCAAGCCUAGACUUUAAGCCUUCUGUUUCCUACUUCUUAGAAGCCAGUCACCAUGCAAGAAGCCUGCCUACCCAGUAACCAGCUGUGAGAAGUCCAAGCUGGCUACACAAAGGGGGGGACACUGAGGUGCCAGACAGGUGGGUAAGGCCUGCCUGAACCUUCCAGCUCUGCCCAACACUCAGCUGAAUGCAGUGAAUCAGCCAGCCCAGCUGAGAACACAGUGAGCAGAGGUUCUGAUCCUGCCUGGAUUCCAGACCCACAGAAUCCAGAGAAAUCAUGUGACUUUAAGCCACUAACUUUUGCAAUAGAUUAAUGUACAACAAUAGAUAAAACACACAGAAAAGUCAAGAAAAUGUUUUUGAAGAAAAGUGAUCUCCGUAGGUUAACUGCAGUUGGUUAAUACUAAUUUAUUGUAUAUUUCAAAAUAGCUAGAAGAUAAUAAUUAGAAUGUUCCUAGCAUAAAGAAAAGACAAUUUAAGGUGAUGGAUAUGCCAAUUACACUGAUUUGAUCUUUACACAUUAUAUGAAUGUAUUCAAUUAUCACAUGUACCCUGAAAAUAUGUACAUCUAUUAUGUGUAAUAAAAAUAAAUCAAAACUUUUUAAAGAAUAAAAAGCGGUCGCACAUCUAAACAGGGCU